UUGACUCUACUUACAGGACUCAUCUCUAUAGUAGGUUACUAGAGAAGUGAGGUGGAGAGCUUCAAAAACAGAAUUAGAGUACCUGGUUUUCUUCUUAUGGUAAUUUAAGGAUGGUAUAGAACUUUCAGA
rnacentral:snoRNA from 2 species